rnacentral:rRNA from 1 species
GGCGACCGGCGCACGGGUGAGUAACGCGUAUGCAACUUGCCUAUCAGAGGGGGAUAACCCGGCGAAAGUCGGACUAAUACCGCAUGAAGCAGGGGCCCCGCAUGGGGAUAUUUGCUAAAGAUUCAUCGCUGAUAGAUAGGCAUGCGUUCCAUUAGGCAGUUGGCGGGGUAACGGCCCACCAAACCGACGAUGGAUAGGGGUUCUGAGAGGAAGGUCCCCCACAUUGGUACUGAGACACGGACCAAACUCCUACGGGAGGCAGCAGUGAGGAAUAUUGGUCAAUGGGCGUAAGCCUGAACCAGCCAAGUCGCGUGAGGGAUGAAGGUUCUAUGGAUCGUAAACCUCUUUUAUAAGGGAAUAAAGUGCGGGACGUGUCCCGUUUUGUAUGUACCUUAUGAAUAAGGAUCGGCUAACUCCGUGCCAGCAGCCGCGGUAAUACGGAGGAUCCGAGCGUUAUCCGGAUUUAUUGGGUUUAAAGGGUGCGUAGGCGGCCUUUUAAGUCAGCGGUGAAAGUCUGUGGCUCAACCAUAGAAUUGCCGUUGAAACUGGGGGGCUUGAGUAUGUUUGAGGCAGGCGGAAUGCGUGGUGUAGCGGUGAAAUGCUUAGAUAUCACGCAGAACCCCGAUUGCGAAGGCAGCCUGCCAAGCCAUGACUGACGCUGAUGCACGAAAGCGUGGGGAUCAAACAGGAUUAGAUACCCUGGUAGUCCACGCAGUAAACGAUGAUCACUAGCUGUUUGCGAUACAGUGUAAGCGGCACAGCGAAAGCGUUAAGUGAUCCACCUGGGGAGUACGCCGGCAACGGUGAAACUCAAAGGAAUUGACGGGGGCCCGCACAAGCGGAGGAACAUGUGGUUUAAUUCGAUGAUACGCGAGGAACCUUACCCGGGUUUGAACGCAUUUCGACCGCUCUGGAAACAGAGCCUCUAGCAAUAGCGAUUUGCGAGGUGCUGCAUGGUUGUCGUCAGCUCGUGCCGUGAGGUGUCGGCUUAAGUGCCAUAACGAGCGCAACCCUUGCCACUAGUUACUAACAGGUGAUGCUGAGGACUCUGGUGGGACUGCCAGCGUAAGCUGCGAGGAAGGCGGGGAUGACGUCAAAUCAGCACGGCCCUUACAUCCGGGGCGACACACGUGUUACAAUGGCGUGGACAAAGGGAAGCCACCUGGCGACAGGGAGCGAAUCCCCAAACCACGUCUCAGUUCGGAUCGGAGUCUGCAACCCGACUCCGUGAAGCUGGAUUCGCUAGUAAUCGCGCAUCAGCCA